GCUGGGAUGGCUCACCUGUAGAGCAUUGGGCUGGGACACAAAAGGCCAGGGUUCGAAUCCAAGCUUGAGCC